rnacentral:rRNA from 1 species
GUAGGUGGCAAGCGUUGUCCGGAAUUAUUGGGCGUAAAGCGUGCGCAGGCGGUUCUUUAAGUCUGAUGUGAAAGCCCACGACUCAACCGUGGAGGGUCAUUGGAAACUGGAGAACUUGAGUACAGAAGAGGAAAGCGGAAUUCCACGUGUAGCGGUGAAAUGCGUAGAGAUGUGGAGGAACACCAGUGGCGAAGGCGGCUUUCUGGUCUGUAACUGACGCUGAGGCGCGAAAGCGUGGGGAGCAAACAGGAUUAGAUACCCUGGUAGUCCACGCCGUAAACGAUGAGUGCUAAGUGUUAGGGGGUUUCCGCCCCUUAGUGCUGCAGCUAACGCAUUAAGCACUCCGCCUGGGGAGUACGGCCGCAAAGGCUG